GACGAACGCUGGCGGCGUGCUUAACACAUGCAAGUCGAACGGUGAAGCGAGUGCUUGCACUCGUGGAUCAGUGGCGAACGGGUGAGUAACACGUGAGUAACCUGCCCAUCACUCUGGGAUAAGCACUGGAAACGGCGUCUAAUACUGGAUACGACCAACCCUUGCAUGGGGUGUUGGUGGAAAGAUUUAUCGGUGAUGGAUGGACUCGCGGCCUAUCAGCUUGUUGGCGGGGUAAUGGCCCGCCAAGGCGACGACGGGUAGCCGGCCUGAGAGGGUGACCGGCCACACUGGGACUGAGACACGGCCCAGACUCCUACGGGAGGCAGCAGUGGGGAAUAUUGCACAAUGGGCGAAAGCCUGAUGCAGCGACGCCGCGUGAGGGAUGACGGCCUUCGGGUUGUAAACCUCUUUCAGCAGGGAAGAAGCGAAAGUGACGGUACCUGCAGAAGAGGCACCGGCUAACUACGUG
rnacentral:rRNA from 1 species